GACGAACCACACAAGCGUUAUUCGGAAUUACUGGGCUUAAAGGGUGCGUAGGCUGUGCGGAAAGUUGGGCGUGAAAUACCUCAGCUUAACUGAGGAACUGCGUUCAAAACUACCGUGCUUGAGGGAGACAGAGGUAAGCGGAACUUAGGGUGGAGCGGUGAAAUGCGUUGAUAUCCUAAGGAACACCGGUGGCGAAAGCGGCUUACUGGGUCUCUUCUGACGCUGAUGCACGAAAGCUAGGGUAGCGAACGGG
rnacentral:rRNA from 1 species